GAGGGGGACCUUGGAACUACUUCCUUGGGGAUUCUGUACACUUCAUUUGCAUUUUCCUUGGCGAUGGCUCCAGUUGUGCGGGGGUUUGAAACAAAAAGAGCUCUGGUUCUCAUGACUACGGGAUAUUUGUUGUUCAUGGCUUCAAACUUGAAGCCAUCAUGGUGAGUUUUUCAUUUGCCCUCAUAUGGCUUGUGCUAGAUGUCAUACUUGCGGUAAUGCUGGCUCUGCUAAUGUUAUGCAGAAUUUAGUUGUUCUCUGUAACGGUUUGUAAUAGGUUCUGAUUGUUCUACAUAUUGAAGGUGCGACCGGUUUAGUAGUCCUUUACUCCCAUUUGUGAGGGCAAAAUGUGUGAUUUGCUCACGUGUUUUAUAUUCUUUAGGAAAAUUAUGCAAACAAUAAAUAGCAGUAGUGGAAUUAUUUUCAUAAUCUCAGUCGUCAUGAUAACCACUCUCAGUUUCUUUGUUGUUACAAGGGUUGUCAGCACUUAUGGUCUCACUCUUGUGUGCUGGGAGGUUUUCUUCCAUGGGUGGUCAUUUCACUUUCUUGAUGGUUGAACACUCUUGAGCUUGACGUAAUUUGUAAACCUGGUAACUUAGGUAUCAAUCAUCAGCUUUCUUUUGUCACUUGCAUCCUCUUGUGCUGACCCAGAGAUGCCUUCUUUUACAAAAGACACUGAUUGUGUAGUGAUAUUGAUUUAGUUUUUCCUACUAUAAACAUCACAGGACGAAUCUUCGAAAACUGUUGGAGUUGUUGAUAAAAUCAAUAUUUUAAUGUAUACUUGAAUUCCUAACUUGGAUUUACUGUGAGCUUGAAUAUGCAGUUUCUGGUUGAGAUACACUAUCAAAUUACAACUUGCAAGCUUUUGAAGAUGUAAGCCUCUGAAACAUACUGACAUCCUACGUUUCUGAUAAUCAAUUAUUUACUCUCCAUUUAUGCUAUUUAGCAAUAUUACUUCUCCUGUUGUUUUACAUUAUCGUAAGCCUUUUCCCUGGUUAUUUUAUUUCCUUUGGUUUUAUGUUUGAAAUAGACUAGUAAUUUGUUUUGGCUCUUCUAACUUUUCUUAAGAAUAGUUGUUUAAUAUAUCUCAUUUUGUUAAGUGUAGCUUUUAUAUUUGUUUUGGCUCUUCUAACUUUUCUAUAGUCUGCAUGAUAAUGGAGUGUUUCUGAUAUAGUUUUUGUUCUUUUUCAUAUUUACUGUGAGCUUGAAUAUGCAGUUUCUGGUUGAGAUACACUAUCAAAUUACAAUUGCUAUUCAUCCUCGGCACAAAUGUCAUCGGUUGUCUACCAUUGAUGCUCUUAUCCAAACAUACUAUGAGCUCUUAUCAAAUGCAAUCUGACAAUGAAGACAAUAUAUCCAUGCAUUCGAGUAAAAAUAAGAAUCAUAUCAAGUGCAAGAUCUUCAAUUGGACCGGAAAAGAUGAAAUUGUUGCUGAAGGUCGUUGGGUUUCCAAUGAUUCAAAAAUGCUUGUUAAUGAUGUUCCUCUCGGACCUAAAACCAUGAUUGUUUGGGUUGAUGUCCCGACAAGUCCUGAAGCUUUUUUAUGGAGACCCACGCCUGACAUGACAUCUAUUGAAGAUGCUAAAGUAGCGUGGCCUGCUGACAAGGUUGUAUUGGAAAAUAUCUCAAUUAACAAUAUGGAAUCUCCAAACAUAACAUCUCCUUUGGUAAUCUUUUUUGUUGAUACUAUCAUUAUUUUGAUAUUUGAUUGUACUAGUUUCUUUUCUAUAAUUGAUAUCACUGUUUUUGUAUUGUUGCUGGAGUGUGAACAACUCAAAGGAAAAGUGCAACUUGUUAGAUAUUGGUGGCGCGGGAAAGAUAGUUACUGAAGGACAUUGGUCUUCAAGUGAUCUGAACCAGCUUGUUCACUUUGUUCCUUUAGGUCCUAAUGCUAUGCGUGUUUGGGUUGAUAUCCCUAGGAUCCCUAGUGCAUCUCUUUGGAGGCCAACAUCUGAGUUAGAAUGCAUUGAAGAUGUCAUUGGUACGACAGUAGCUUGGCCAUCAGACAAAGUUGUUAUGCUUUGAAAAGCUGCAGUACUAGUACUCAAUUGCUGAAGAUGAUGAGUCUCCCAAGUCAUAUGUAAUGCAGCAAAGUUAGUUUUUGUUGUUCUGUGUACUAUGGUUAAUUUCUUGUACUCCAUGUUGGAUUAUCCAAAGACUAGUAUUUGUUUUUUGGCACAUUUGUGUUGACUCUUCUUGUAUGCUACAACUUGGUUAUGUAUCAGUUUGAACCUUUAAAUAAAAUAUUUGCUUUUAUGGUUGUCACAA